rnacentral:rRNA from 1 species
AGGAGAAGAAAGCAAACGCGAUUCCCUGAGUAGCGGCGAGCGAAACGGGAACAGCCCAAACCAAGAGGCGUGCCUCUUGGGGUUGUAGGACCGCUCAUUGUGGGAGUGAGAAAGGAACGGGGUAGACGAACCGGUCUGGAACGGCCGGCCAGAGAAGGUGACAGCCCUGUAGUCGAAACUUCGUUCCCUCCCGAGCGGAUCCUGAGUACGGCGGGACACGAGGAAUCCCGUCGGAAGCAGGGAGGACCAUCUCCCAAGGCUAAAUACUCCCUAGUGACCGAUAGUGCACCAGUACCGUGAGGGAAAGGUGAAAAGCACCCCGGAAGGGGAGUGAAAGAGAACCUGAAACCGUGUGCCUACAAGUAGUCAGAGCCCGUUUAUGGGUGAUGGCGUGCCUUUUGUAGAAUGAACCGGCGAGUUACGAUGACGUGCGAGGUUAAGCCGAAGAGGCGGAGCCGCAGCGAAAGCGAGUCUGAAUAGGGCGCUUAGUACGUCGUCGUAGACCCGAAACCAGGUGAUCUACCCAUGCCCAGGGUGAAGGUAGGGUAACGCCUACUGGAGGCCCGAACCCACGCACGUUGAAAAGUGCGGGGAUGAGGUGUGGGUAGGGGUGAAAUGCCAAUCGAACUUGGAGAUAGCUGGUUCUCCCCGAAAUAGCUUUAGGGCUAGCCUCAAGGGAAGAGUCUUGGAGGUAGAGCACUGAUUGAGCUAGGGGCCCUCAUCGGGUUACCGAACUCAGUCAAACUCCGAAUGCCAAUGACUUAUCCUUGGGAGUCAGACUACGAGUGAUAAGAUCCGUAGUCGAGAGGGAAACAGCCCAGACCACCAGCUAAGGUCCCUAAGUGUACGUUCAGUGGAAAAGGAUGUGGAGUUGCUUAGACAACCAGGAUGUUGGCUUAGAAGCAGCCAUCAUUUAAAGAGUGCGUAAUAGCUCACUGGUCGAGUGACUCUGCGCCGAAAAUGUAUCGGGGCUAAACGUACCACCGAAGCUGUGGGAUGACCGCUGGUCAUCGGUAGGGGAGCGUUCUAAGCGCGCCGAAGCGAGACCGGAAGGACUCGUGGAGCGCUUAGAAGUGAGAAUGCCGGUGUGAGUAGCGAAAACAGAGGUGAGAAUCCUCUGCACCGAAAGCCUAAGGGUUCCUGAGGAAGGUUCGUCCGCUCAGGGUUAGUCGGGACCUAAGCCGAGGCCGAAAGGCGUAGGUGAUGGGCAACAGGUUGAGAUUCCUGUACCACCUCCUCACCGUUUGAGCAAUGGGGGGACGCAGGAAGGUAGGGCGAGCAGGCUGCUGGAAUAGCCUGUCCAAGCGGUUAGGCUGCCAGAUAGGCAAAUCCGUCUGGCAUAAAGGCUGAGCCGUGAUGGCGAAGGGACCAUCGGUCCCAAAGUCCCCGAUCCUACACUGCCAAGAAAAGCCUCUAGCGAGGUGAGAGGUGCCCGUACCGCAAACCGACACAGGUAGGCGAGGAGAGAAUCCUAAGGUGCGCGGGAGAACUCUCGUUAAGGAACUCGGCAAAAUGACCCCGUAACUUCGGGAGAAGGGGUGCUCGUUUGGGUGAAGAGCCCGAACGAGCCGCAGUGAAAAGGCCCAAGCGACUGUUUAUCAAAAACACAGGUCUCUGCGAAGCCGAAAGGCGAAGUAUAGGGGCUGACACCUGCCCGGUGCUGGAAGGUUAAGGGGAGCGCUUAAGCCGCAAGGCUGAUGGUGCGAACCGAAGCCCCAGUAAACGGCGGCCGUAACUAUAACGGUCCUAAGGUAGCGAAAUUCCUUGUCGGGUAAGUUCCGACCCGCACGAAAGGUGUAACGACUUGGGCACUGUCUCAACGAGAGACCCGGUGAAAUCAUACUACCUGUGAAGAUGCAGGUUACCCGCGACAGGACGGAAAGACCCCGUGGAGCUUUACUGCAGCCUGAUAUUGAAUUUUGGUAUCGCUUGUACAGGAUAGGUGGGAGCCUGAGAAGCCGGAGCGCCAGCUUCGGUGGAGGCGCCGGUGGGAUACCACCCUGGCGGUAUUGAAAUUCUAACCCGCACCCCUUAUCGGGGUGGGAGACAGUGUCAGGCGGGCAGUUUGACUGGGGCGGUCGCCUCCCAAAAGGUAACGGAGGCGCCCAAAGGUUCCCUCAGAAUGGUUGGAAAUCAUUCGGAGAGUGCAAAGGCACAAGGGAGCUUGACUGCGAGACGGACAGGUCGAGCAGGGACGAAAGUCGGGCUUAGUGAUCCGGUGGUUCCGCAUGGAAGGGCCAUCGCUCAACGGAU